CUUUCAUGUAUUACUUUUCUCAACACACUUUAACUGUACUUGAGCACAUACUUUGUGCCCAGCCCUUGCUAGGAACUAAGGAUACAGACUUGUUUGAUUCAUUUCACAAAUAGUUGCUGAGUACCUACGAUGUGCUUGGCAGACACUGCUAAGCCCUGGAAACUGACUUGGGUGGAAACAGUAAAGACCCCUGCCCACAAGGUGCCUCCAGCCUGGGGAGGAAGACAGACAUUCAAAUAAGGAAAAUACCUGGCACGGACAGGUCCUUGCCGAAUGCCAGAACUUCAAAGGGCUCCAGUGCAAUGGGCUCAUCACAGGGAUUAUCAGCCCUUUCUGCAGAUGAGAAAACUGAAGCUCAGAAAGGUGAAGAGACUUGCCCAGGUUCCCACACCUAGUGACUGGCAGAGCCUCAGCUGGAACACACACCAGCCUGACUCCAAAGUCCACGAUCUUUCUCAACAGCACGCAGCUGCCAGGGUGUGUUUCAAGUUUCUGGAUCAAGAUGUCCAGCGAGGCAGGGUGGAGACUAUGCACGGACACCAAGAGGGCACGAUGGAGAGCUGGACCAGAGCUUGAAGCAGGAAGAGAAAACCUGCAGACAAUAUGGCUCUGCCAGAGAGGGUGGAUCACGUGAUCAGAGAAGCCGCCCCAAGCAUGGAGCCGCAGAAACACGUGGAAAGAAGGCUCUGGCUCCCCUGAAGCCGAGCGCAUUUCCUACAGCCCAAGUCUGUCAGGCUGCUUUAUAUCUUGAUGAUUGGCUCCCUUUUCCAAGUAAAAGUCUGUUCCUAGCAACCAGACAAUUCCUGAUGAAAACCUCAGUGUUAUGAUUAUGUCCUGUUAAUAAAUGUUACAGGGUAUGAAUCCAUAAA